rnacentral:tRNA from 1 species
CCCGCGGUAGCUCAACUGGCAGAGCGAUCGGCUGAAACCCGGUGCGUGGGGGUUCGAGACCCUCCCGCGGGA